rnacentral:ribozyme from 13 species
GUAGAAGAAGAAGAGAGAGGAGAAGAAGAAAAGAUGGAAGAAGAAAAGAAAGGAUUUUUUGGUCGUGGUGUUGCAUGUUUUAGCAGAUCUGUUCUUCUUUCUUAUCGUCGUUGUUCUGAACAGGCUCGCCAAUUCAAUGAGUCUGUGGUAAAAAGUGGAGAGCCUGCGGGAUGGGGUUUGAAACGCGUGAUGGAAGAACCAGAAGAG